GUGCCAGCCGCCGCGGUAAUACGGAGGGUGCAAGCGUUGUCCGGAAUCACCGGGCGUAAAGGGUGCGCAGGCGGGGUAGCAAGUCGGAUGUGAAAGCCCGUGGCUCAACCACGGAAGCGCCUUCGAUACUGCUGCUCUUGAGUCCCGGAGAGGCUGUCGGAAUUCGUGGUGUAGCGGUGAAAUGCGUAGAUAUCACGAGGAACACCAGAGGCGAAAGCGGACAGCUGGACGAGUACUGACGCUCAGGCACGAAAGCGGGGGGAGCAAACAGGAUUAGAUACCCGAAUAGUCC
rnacentral:rRNA from 1 species